GACGAACGCUGGCGGCGUGCCUAACACAUGCAAGUCGAGCGGGGGGAGUACUUCGGUACAAGCCUAGCGGCGGACGGGUGAGUAACACGUGGGUAACCUGCCUCAAAGUGGGGGAUAGCCUUCCGAAAGGAAGAUUAAUACCGCAUAACCCAUAGCUUCCGCAUGGAAGCAAUGGUAAAGGUUUAUCGCUUUGAGAUGGACCCGCGGCGCAUUAGCUAGUUGGGGAGGUAACGGCUCACCAAGGCCACGAUGCGUAGCCGACCUGAGAGGGUGAUCGGCCACAUUGGAACUGAGACACGGUCCAGACUCCUACGGGAGGCAGCAGUGGGGAAUAUUGCACAAUGGGCGAAAGCCUGAUGCAGCAACGCCGCGUGAGUGAUGAAGGCCUUCGGGUUGUAAAGCUCUGUCUUUUGGGACGAUAAUGACGGUACCAAAGGAGGAAGCCACGGCUAACUACGUGCCAGCCGCCGCAGUAAGAC
rnacentral:rRNA from 1 species